AUAAACGCACUCGAGCGCAUGGGCGCUUAAAUUAAACAGCAAGGUUUUUAAUAGAAGUUAAGGAGUGGGCUAUUGGGUGGGAAAGUUUUGUACUGCACAGAAGCUGCUUAUAUAUUUUUGCGGACGAGCUACAUCUGACAUUGCCGUGAUCGUGAUGCAGCCCGUUGCUUAAGCAUUGCCUGCACCUGAUGAUUUGCAUCUGAUAUAAUUAAUUAAUUAUACACAUUCCAUAAAAAAACAACAAAAUAGGUCGAGAUCUUUCACUUUUUGACAGCUGAGCGUAUAUCCAACAGAUGAUUCAGUGCAGAAUAUAUCAGCCGUUUCGAAACAGAGGAUUAUGGGGAGUAAACUUACGAGCCACGACCCCACCGGAUUCCAUUAUCUCUCCUCUUUCUGAAUUAAGGCGCUAGGCUGAAACCAGGCAUAUUUUUUCUUUAAGCUUUUACGCACUUUUGCGUUGAAUUAGUUGUAUUGAACGAGAGAGAUUAUUAUUAUUAUCAUUUUAUUUCAUUUUCUUUCGCUAGGGACGCUUGGGCGAUCAAGUUUUAAGAAUGGUCUGAUACAUGUGAAGCGAAUACAUGGGUUAUAAAGUAAGAACCAGUGAUGCCUCAGUCCUGAAGGCUAACGUGAAACAGAAAUCGAGAAAAGCACAUCAGUUGAAGUUAAAACCAUGCAUGCGUGGCAAAGAAAGAGCAGAAGGAAAAGGGGAAAACCACAGAUUGACAUGGUUGCAUAUAUGUCUUUAAUCAGACAAGCACAAGGAGUGGGUAAAUUCGAGCAGAAGACAGGGUUGAGUCUGUGGAAGCUUGUGAUCGAGCUUUCCUGAUUCUAUGAGAUGCAAAUCCUCCAGAAGGGUCUCGUAGUGCUCCUGAACGUCCCCUGCAUUCUUAUUUCCUCCGAUCAUGGCCGCGAUCACCUCCCACCGAUCUGGGCAUUGGUUGUCUACCACCGCCAAUGCCAACUCGAACAGUUUGUUCUCCUCCCAACUCCAUCCUCUCAAAACCUUGCUACAGUCAUCCAUGUCCCGUUUUGAGAUGCCCCGAUGAUAUUGAUACCUUCGCAUUCACUGCCACCGUGUUAUGACUUGUGAGGGUCCUGGCACUGAGAAGACCUCUCUUCAAUGGCGUCUCAUGAUUUGAAAUGUGUGUACAAUUGGGAAAUGUUUAUUCAUCUGUCUCAUUCGUGCCCUAAAGUCUACACCUCAACAGGGAAAAUUAUUAACCGCAAACGUCACUUUGUAAUGAGGGUAUAUCAUUUUGCGCCGAAACAGGAAACUGUUGAUGAGAAAAUCGACAAAAUAAACUACCUCAUCAUCCAUUUCUUGCAAGCGUUGUUUUUUAUUAUUUAUGAAUAAUUGUUUUUGCUUUCAA